AUGCCUAUUUAUAAUAUUUUAGGAAACCUGUCUUUAUUUUUUCACUUUUUUAUUCUUUCUGUCUAGUACUUUGAGAUUGCAUAAGAGUAAGCUGUAACUGUUCAAAGUACAUAAAAAAUUGGCAUGUAGUUCUCUCUUAAAUUUUAAACUCAAUUGUCAGUUUCUGGAUUAAUUGAAAUACGACAAGCAUUAAUGGGACCUUUCUUCCUUCAUCACAUACAUGUUUUGUGUAUUGUGCCAUGAAUGACAUGCUAACUGUCCAUGCUAUUGGGUGGAACCAACGGAAGCAAGAAGGCCUUCAGCAUUAUCCAGCAGAUACAUCAAGAAAGGCUGAGUCUCAGAGACGGGAAGAUUUGAGCAGUGAACUGGGGUGUCCUGAGAACAUUGUGAAUCAGUGGGUACAAGAUGUCAGACAAUAGGCUACUAAUGGAUUUGGUAGGUACCAGAUGUGAUGACCAACAUAACCUUCAGAAAUCAAUUGAACAAAUGUUUCUUAGUCUUCAUCGAAAAGCCGGCCUUUAUAAUCACACUGAAUCCAGCAACACCCUCACCAAGAAGAUUUUUUUUAUGUAUACAUGUCAAAAGUGCGCCUUCAAGAAGCAAAGAUCAUUGUGAUGGGGGAGAUGAGACACCACUGCACCGCACCUAUCUCAGAAGCCUGGCUAGGAACAUCAGGAAAAUGAUAUCAAAAAUGUCUUCAGGCAAAAACAGUGGCAGUUUAAGUGAAGAGUGUCAUCGCUGGCUACUGUGUCUUCUUCAGAAAAGGCUUGCAGAUGUAGAGAAGUUUCAACUUUGCUCAAGUUACAGCCAGGCUUUAGGGCAGUGUUCUUCACUCCCAACCCUGGAGAGCCGGUGUCCUGCAGACUUUAGCUCCAACCUUAAUCAAACACACCUGAAAGCUAAUCAAUGUCUUCAUGAUCUCUAGAAAAUCACAGGUACGUGUGUUUGAUUAAGGUUGGAGCUAUAACUCUGCAGGACACCGGCUCUCCAGGAUUGGAAGUGAAGAACACUGCUUUAGGACCAAAUGCUGUUUCUCUGCUGGAGGAUGAGCCUGAGGAGAUAGGACCACGAAGAGCUGGAUUAUGAGAGUUCAGAUGACAGUGAUUUUGGAACUCUGAACUGGAGUAUGCAUUUAGACUGUGUGUCACACUGAACUGCAGGUGUGUUUCAUGGAAAACAUAAAACUAUUUGGAAAUGUAAUGGAUGUCUGAUACAGUGCUUUUAUUUUAGACAACCGUUUCCUGCAGUGUGUAAGCAACAUUAGCCUCAUAGAUUGAUGGGAAACUACUGUUAAAUAAGUUUUUGUAUGAUAAUACAUAUCUCCGUUUACAAGCAGCAGGUUAGCUAUUAAGUUUCCCCUCCACCUCCGAUGUUUCACAGACUACUCCUACAGUCAACUGUGUUGCUACAACUUGCAAAUGCCACAAUCCUCUUGCAGUGGUUACUUCACCAAACUGUGCCCAUAUCAUCUUGUCAACAUAAUGACAUUUACUGUGGAAAAAUGUGCAAAUCUAUUUUGCCUAUGUUACUAUUAUUGUUAUAUAGUUUUAUACUGUAUCAAGUUUUUUUCACAGUGAUUGUGGAUACUUUUGGAGUGAACUAACUGUAUGUCAUUAGAUGAAAUACCUUCCAUAAAUGACUGAUCAAUAGCCUACCCAUAUUUGAUGCAUGAGUUAAUACUGUUGUUACCUUUUCAAUGAAAAGAAAUGUUUUACAAUGCCAUUUUCUUGAGGUAACUAUUAAACUGUUUCAUUGUACCUGCAAAAUUGUUUGCUAAAGCGUUGUUUACUUUUCCCUGUUUUGAAAAUGAGAUGUAAAACUACUUUUUUUAUUUAUGCCUUAAAAUAUAUAUGAUAGUUUAAUACAGGGUAAAUAAUAAAACGUGUUAAUUAGUUAGUAUACAGUUGUGUUGUAUUAUUUAUGGCAUAGUUGUUAUAAUUAAUACAAGUUUUUCAUUACACUGCUGCAUAACUUUGCUCUAGAUAGGGUAUUAACACUAGACAGUUCAAAGAUGAUUAACUUUUAAGUUAUGUAUGCUAUAAAUACAUAUACUUACGUAUAGUAUGUGUGAAUGCUUUUGGUCUUUGAUUAAAUG